CAAGGGAAAAAGAUAAAAGCUUGGAAAACAUUUAAUUUUGGUUUAUAAAGCAGUCAUUCUUCACCAUUGAACAGAAAAAGUCAUUCUUUGACACUUUUCCUUGUUUUUUUUUUUCUGUUUUGUACCAAAACAGAUAGUCUCCUUUUAGGCUCCACAUCUUUGUGCUCAGAGGGAUGCAGAUACCUGUGGGAGAAAAGGGCUAAUGGUGUUUUAUUCAUUUGCAGGGAAAAGAAUACACAGAGGCUUCUAGGCUACUUAAAGCCAUGGAUGUCUGGUGCCAGUGUGGUAGCUGUACCACAGGGAGGGAAGUGUCAUGGAGGAUGUAGCCAGCAAUUGGAAACAGCCUAAAUGCCCAUCACCUGAGCAGUGGAUAAUGAAACUGUGAUGCAUCUACACAAUGGACUAUUACUGAGCUAUUCCAAGGCACGAAACUAUGUAAUCUGCAUGAAGAUGGUUGGGCACAUGAAAAGUAUGUUAAAAAUGGAAACAUCUUUCCCUUCAUUUGGAAGAGUAAAAGCUCGUACUUGGCUGGAAAAUGACAUCUAAUGGAGGAGGAUGAUAAUUGGUGCUGAGUAGAAAGCUCCAAGGUCAGGCAUGACUCUUCCCUGCUCUGUGACACUUCGUCCUUGGCGAAGGACAGGAGGUGUUCAACAUCUCUUCAUAAAGAAGCAGUUCGAGAAGAGAGCGCCCAGUGCUUGGAUCCUAAGAAGGAUGUCUCCUGGAGACUGUCAUGGCGAACCUUCUGGCAGCAGAGGUGGUUUCUCUGUGGAUCCAGCAUUGGUAACUCCAUCUUCUCUGUAAGAAAUUGUAGCAAGCUGGUGGCUGUUUUCCUGGGUUGCCUCACCCUUUCUGGUUUAGCUUAUCAGCUUUUCUGAGCCCUAUCCGCAAAAUUUCUGUGUGUACGUCUUUCUGUUUUCAAUAAUUGGCUGCCAUGUUUUAAAUUUAAGUGAGUAAACUUAAUUAAAUAAUUAAAUUUAAAUAAAAGUAAAUAGUUCAAUUGAAAUAAUUAGAUUUGUUUCUUAAACCUUAACAAUACAGAAGGCCAGUAAAAAGAGAUGAAACACAAAAGGAAACUUUUAGAGCUGGAUAAUCCUGGAGGAGGUGGAUCCUCUAAGGGGAUACUGCAGAUGAUUGCUGCUUUCUGGUAUGUGUAGUUGAGAGACUGGGACUUUGAGUAAAGAAUCGAACACCUGGGAGAGAAAUGACCUUCAUGGAAUGGAUAGAAUGAUAGUUAAUUUUGAUUCCCAACCUUAUUGGGUCUGGAAAUUACCACGAGAUGUACUUCUGGGUGUUUCUAUGGAGAGAGUUCCAGGAAUAAUGAGUUAAAGGAGAAGACCCUCCCCUAUAAGGAAUAGAAACUUACAGUAAGCAGAUAUAAAGAGGGUUGAGAGCCAGGUAUAGUGGUGUACGCCUUCGAUCCCAGCACUUGUCAGGCAGA
rnacentral:sRNA from 1 species